rnacentral:lncRNA from 1 species
UUGGAGAUAGAGAUACCCGUAGGUCGUUUUUUGGAUUCUCCGACCUGAAAAUAGAUAAAAUAUUAAAAUUAUUUGAAGCCAAAGUGGCGUCCUGUACCUUUUGGAGAUAUUUUGAUGGCUUUCGAGCUUUGAAGUCCCUCAGGACUUGGUUCAGCACCGGCCUUCUUUGGCUCGAUUUUCUGGGAGGUGUUCUGCACUCG